UUUCCUCCCAAUAUACGGUCUGUCUCUCUGAGUGUCUUCUCCUGAUUCUUUUCUUUUUUUUCUUACCCAUUCUCCUCCCUCUUUUUUCCUUUCCCCUUUCUCCUGACCCAUUCUCCAUUCUCCUUUCUCCAGAAAAAAUCGUUUGAUGUCAUGCAGGUAAGGUUUUAGGCAGAAAAUUUUGGGAUGAUACCUGAACAUUUGCCGGAAAAAAUCGCCUGAUACCUGUACCUUUGCCCGGCGAUUUCCUCAACCUCCUGGGACCACAAUUUUCGCGUGGCUCCGGAGCCCCCAGUUCCAGAUCUGGACUCGCCUGGAGCGGUGUGGGUGGUGGACAUGAAGCGGCCAGAUCUGGACUCGCCUGAACGUUCUUUCCCCCUCCAACUCGACCUCUCUCCAGGUAGGGGAGGAAGAGGAAGUUAUCAUAGGCCCUAAGGGGGCGUUUUGGUGCAUGGAGCUUAGGCAGGGGAAGCAAUCAGGAUAGUGGUGACUACAACAGAGUAAGAGGAAUGAUUUUUAUCAACCUGGUUCACGAUGAGACAAAAACGCCUAAGGCAAUCAAGCAUCUACAGAUGGACAGAAAUAUUCAUGGAUCAUAACUUAGGCUUUUGAUCUGAGGGUCAUUUGAGCCAUUUAGGAUCUUUAGGUUUUUGGUGAGACUUGUUUGUGUUGUUCUUGUUUGGGUAUAGCUAUGUUGCUUUUUCCCCUGUAAUGAGUUUUAUUAUGCAAUUCAAGUGGGAAUUUUAUUGGCAUUUUGAGCCCCGAGUUUUCAAUAAAACAAGAUGCUUGUCUAAUAUAUGAUUCAUACUUUUUCUGAA